GACAGCAGUCGCCGCGGUAAUACGGAGGGUGCAAGCGUUAAUCGGAAUUACUGGGCGUAAAGCGCACGCAGGCGGUUUGUUAAGUCAGAUGUGAAAUCCCCGAGCUUAACUUGGGAACUGCAUUUGAAACUGGCAAGCUAGAGUCUUGUAGAGGGGGGUAGAAUUCCAGGUGUAGCGGUGAAAUGCGUAGAGAUCUGGAGGAAUACCGGUGGCGAAGGCGGCCCCCUGGACAAAGACUGACGCUCAGGUGCGAAAGCGUGGGGAGCAAACAGGAUUAGAUACCCCUGUAGUCCCUGUCUCUUAUAC
rnacentral:rRNA from 1 species